UUUCCGUUGGUGAACCAGCGGAAGGAUCAUUACAGAGAUCAUGCCCCUCGCGGGUAGACCUCCCACCCUGUGUUAUUACGAUUGUUGCUUUGGUAGGCCGCCUUCGGGCACUCGGCUCCGGCUGAGGUGCGCCUGCCAGAGGACCUACCUAAAACCCUUUGCAAUACCUGCAGAACUGUCUGAUAGCGAAAGCAAUUUAAAUCAAAACUUUCAACAACGGAUCUCUUGGUUCUGGCAUCGAUGAAGAACGCAGC
rnacentral:misc_RNA from 1 species